GGCCUGGCGGCGGGCGGGGCACGGAGCGCCAUGGCCGAGGCCUGGGCCGGCUUCUCGCAGGAGGAGCUGCGGCGGCUGCGGGGGCAGCGCCCAGAUCUGUACGAGCCCUCCCCGCAGCAGCCGCCGCCUCGCCCCCAGGCUGUGCCCAAGACCCGGCAGCAAUUGCAACGGGAGAAAGCCGUGCAGCAGCAAAGCCAGAGGCUGGGGCUGCACGGAGGAGCGGCCUCGCUCACUCCCGAGCAGCGGCUCUCGGCUCCACAGCCCGAGCCCGGUGACCCGCAGCAGCCCGGGCCAGCGCCUGGGGGUGACCCAAGGGGAGAGCAGCCGCAGGGAGUGACACCGGCAGAGGCUUGGAAUGGCAGGGACAGUGCCCAGCCCCGCCCCACAAAGCCCAGCAGCCAAGGGGAGAGAAAGAAAGUGGAAUUGCAGGAAAAAUCCCGAUGGGAAAUCCUCCAGCAGGAGCAGCGGCUGAUAGAAGAGAAGAAUAAACGCAAGAAGGCACUCCUGGCCAGAGCCAUUGCUGAGAGAUCCAAAAGAACCCAAGCAGAAACAGUGAAACUGAAGAGGAUUCAGAAGGAGCUGCAGGCUCUGGAUGACAUGGUGUCUGCUGACAUCGGCAUCCUGAGGAACCGCAUCGACCAGGCCAGCCUGGACUACUCCUACGCGCGCAGCUGCCAAGAAACCUCAUGGACCCAUCUGUCCUCCAGGCCAGGCAAACAACCAGGGCUCCCCAGAGCCACCAGGAGAUGGGAGAGUUUAAACAUCACUGCUUUCAUUUGGAAAGGGCGAGUGACUUUCCCAUGCCGUAAUACCCAGCAAGUGUUGAGAGAAUGUGGUUACAUAAAACCAUAUUUUUAAUACAACCGACAGACUGUCUUGAGAGCUAAGUGUUUUUUGACAGUUUUUAUGCACCUGUUAAUUCAAAGCUCUUAACAUGUGCCAGUUAAAAAGAGCCAGGCACUAAAACAUCCACCCUGUGGACGGCCAGGGCUCAGCUGCACACCAGAGCACAGGGAAUCCAUGCAAGGUAGAAACUUGGCUUCCCUCACAGCACCAACUGGUACAGAGCUAGUGCAACUCAGAGCUUUUGUUUCCCUGUCCUGCUUGGCCUCGUAGAUUCCUGCUUCUGCUUUGGACCUGAAGAACAGCUGACAUUUCUUUGGGUUUCUUCUGUCUAGUUUUCUCAGCUAUUUCAGAAAGAAAAGAUGCCAAACUUCCUGUCAGGGCCACAUCCUUAAAAGACAAUGCUGACAAUACUUCCCCAGGCUCCUCUGCUAAAUUUGUGCCUCCUUCUUUUCCUAAAGUGGGGCUGCUUUUGGUGAUCAGGUAGAGCCCAGAUGGAAACCUGCUGCACCAUCCUCCAGUGUGUCUGCUCAGGUAUCACCUCCACUCCACUCCCUGCUCAGGUAGUCUCUUCAGAGAAGUUCUCCUCCUCCUCUUGUCUAAUAUUUUCCUUCCUCUUCACCCUUUCAAUAUUACAAAUUUUCAAUGUAUAGAUUUUCUCAGGGUCAUUUUAAACCUCUCACAGCCAGGUCUUCCCUCUUCCUUCUGUGACUUUCUUCCCAUACUGUAUCUGAUCCCAUCACAACUCCCUAUUUUUAGGGUUAGGUUUAGCUUUAGGUUUAGGGUUAGGUUUAGGUUUAGGUUUAGGGUUAGGGUUAGGGUCUGGGUCUGCACUCUGUGGAUCACCCAAUGGCCUCAUCCCUGUGGAGAAAACCUUGAAAACUCAGCAUCAUCUGACAUAAAGCCUCAAAAAAGCCCAGAAGGCAGAUAAAAACAAGAAAGCCUGAGAAUUUUAAAUACUUGCAGAUGCUGACACAGUUGUUUCUGUGGUAGAAAAUGACCAGCUAACCCUAAAAUGAGUGGCCACCCAUUUUUUGUGCCAGUGACUGUGCAUUUGGGAUGUGUUUCUGUGUAAGGAAGGGUUAGCAUCCCUUCUGUGGAAAUUCAAUCAGGCUUAAUCAAGCCUUCAGGUGAUAAUUGCACUCCCUUGAGGGGAUGGGGCUGUGGCAGCUCUAGACCUUUCCUUUAUCUCAAGGCCAAGAGGCAUGAGGAGUCUCUGGUGUUCAGCCCAAAGCUUAAGAAAGCAAACAUCAAUAUUCCUUCUUGCUAAGUUCCCUACAGGCUGCCUUGGCAGAUCUGGCUCAUGGUGAAUAACCUGUCAGAACAGUACUGCUGUCCCUGAGUGCUGCACAGAGCUUGAACUGACAGGAGGGUUCUUUAGGCAGGGAACACGAGGUGGGGGCUUGUCAGGACAAUAGAUGGGGCUAGGAUUCCACCUCAAUAACACUCAGGCUGUUUAUUGCAAAAUCACCUGGCAGGACAAAUCUGCUCCAUGUCAGGUGUGUGCACACUGUUCUUUGUGUUGAAUUAGCCAGAACAUGGUAUAUAGUGUUUUUCUUGGCUUUACAUUUUACACUGACUGCAGGAAGGCAUAUUAUACCCCAUCUGGCAUAAAUCCUGUUGGAGCACAGUUACCCUGUGACAAUUCAGAGGAUAAAUUGGACCAGGCAGAAUGGUAUACACUCCAUCAGUGUUUUGCUGCAUGGGAUCACAACAGUUUUAAUCACGUCCUGGGUACCCUCAAACAAAAUUUUCUGUCUCAGUACUGCCCAGCUGUGCUGGUACGUGUUAUGCUUAUGAUGUUGCCUUGAAAAACAUGACUCUGCCCCUGCUGAAAGGUUGCAUUACUGUUAUUUCUUACUCUGCUACUUCAGCAGCUGCUGUGCAUGGACUUGACCUGUAGCCUAUGUCUUUUCAGGGUGCACCUUCCAAGCAAGAUUAAGGUGUAGCUGGGGUGACCUCCUGUUCUGGAAUGACAGAACUGGAAAGGAUCUCAACACAUCCUCCAACUCAUAGCCUGUGUGUCCUGAGGGGGAGCUGUCUGAUAGCUCCUGCCUCCUGCAGAGAUGGAGAAGCUGUCUCUCAGCAGUGGAAGCUGAGUGGAACCCAAGGUCUAACUGGAAACUCCACUCCACACUUGAACCUGGCUCUUCUUGCCCCAUGAGCUGUGUUUGAGGAGAAUGGUUUUUGUCUUCCCAAGGCCUUUCUCUGUGCUACCCCUUAAAGCACGUGCACAGCAGGCUCUGCAGGGAGGCAGGGAGUGAAGGACUCGGGGUGGGAAGCAUCCCAAACUCGCUCAGAUCUGUUGAGAUUCCAGCAGCACCCGAGCCAUCUGUGACUCAUCCUCGUGCUUUGCGUCAGCUCUGAGGAGAGAUCUCUCUGUGGAGAGAUCCUCAGAGCAAGCAAGGCUCUGAUUCCCUGCCUGCUGCCACAGAAAACAGCCCCAGGUUCCUGGUGCUUUGUCCUCACGAGGGGACAGGGCUAUGAUGCAAGAUAAGUUCAUCAGAAAAGCAUGGUGGUUGUUUAUUGCUCUGAAACAUGCUCUGUUUUCAGCUACAGGAAAAUUGUAAGAGUCAUAAUCCUUGCUGAGAGCUGAGCUGCUUCUCCAAACAAAUUGACUCCAUUUCCAUCUGAUUUAAAUUUGAGAGAGCUGCUCAUGUCCCAAAGCUGAGUGAUUUUAUCACCCCUUCACCAGCCCCAGCAUAUGAUGACAGGUUUUUUAGAUCGAACCAGGGAAUAACUUUGCUGAGAGAUCUCCCAGUUUUCACCCAUCUGAGGAGCCCUGAUGUUUCCUUAGAAUCCCUUUGCCCUUUUGCUGCAAAGAUAGGUUGCUCUGAGGGCAGAACAGAUCUCCAGGGAUUGAGAGCAAAGGGAGGCUUCAGCAGAGCCUUGAGAUCAAGCUUGAAGUAGGAGCUUCUUUCCUUAAGCUCAAAGAAUAUGUGUAAUUUUUAAUUUUUUUGAAAGUGUGUGUUAACUACAUGAGCAGAAGAACUGCUCAUGGGGCAAAAUGUGCAAACCUGAAUUAGGAUGCUAGAAGUUAAUUGCAUUGCUCAAAAACGUACAGAGUAAAAUCUAAGGGGUCUUUCCCUUGGCAUGCUCUUUCUUCUUUAGAGAACUUCCUGAAAACCCUGUCCUUGGAUUGGUGACUGUGCCAAAAAGUGUUUGGCAGAAAGGGCAAAACGGAGCCUGUGAUUCAAUGUGGAGCUCUUGGAACCAGGGAGGAGAACCCAGGGUUUGCACAAAGGACACGAUUCAGCUCUCAGCAAUCAAACCCCAGCUCUUGCUUCCUUUCCAAGGGCAUCUGCAGUCCCCUGACUCCACGUGGCCAAAAUUCCCAUUGUCUCCAUGAGGAGUUAAAACACGAAAUGAAGAAAACACCAAGUGGAGAAAGGAGAAGAGCACGGGAAGAAAUGGCUACAACCCAUCUUAUUUAUCUGCUUCCAAGAAAAAAAAAAAUGAGUGUGAGACAUGGAAGUUUCUUUUCAGGAAGGAAACUUUUCAGUUUCUUUUCAGGUUUCUUUUCUAAUGACUUGGAUGAUCCAGUGAAACAAAUGAGAGCAGCCAGGAGAGUGCUCUGCUCCGAAAGGGCAGGGAAAUAUUUGCCAAUGCAGCAGCUCUGCAAAUGUGUGAGGCUGUUAAGCUCCUAAUCCCAUGUCUUAUUUUUAUGAAUUUUCACACUAGUGGGAUAUAAUGAACGUUGAACCCAAAGACAUUAAUUACUCGGGUCCUUUUUUUGAGAGGAAUUUCGAUGGAGUGUAACGUUUUAAAUUACAAGGUGUGAAAUAAACUCUACAAAACUUACAGCUUUAGUGGAGGAACUCCAAAAUCAAAUAAAAAUGCAAAACCACUGAUGAAGUCCAAUUUACUGUAAAAUGCCCUGGAUCAUGGUGUUCCAGUAAUUUUUUUUUUCUCCCUACAUACUUUGGUUAAAAUAAUUUAUAUCCGCUGCAGUGUUUAUGUACCUUAAGCUUUAUUUAUUAAAGGAUAUGUAUAUUUCAAGCCCAGUUUUAAUGAGACAUGCUGAAAUCUGUAAGGUACAGUGCGACUUUUGUUCUAAUCAGCACUAAAUCUCUUCUCUUUACUUUUUCUGUGUUGAAAAUAUUCAUGUUGGACGGAAAGGGCCGUGCGUGUAUAUAAAUUUCAGAAAUGUAUAAAUAUAUAUGUAAAGUAACAAGCAAAAUUUAUUUCUUUUUUUUUUUCUAUCAUCAGGGCAAAUACUCCAUCAUUGUUCAGUCUGAGCACUUAAAAUCAUGGAUGGAUUUUAUCCUUGUUCUUAGAACAGGACAAUUACUUCUUUUUUUAGGCAAAUUAUGUAUUUGCCAAAGGCUGUGCUUUAGGUUGGCUGAAAAUGUUUGGGAAUUCACAUCAGCUUGAAGAACUGUUUUGGCAAAGGAAGAAAAAGAAGUCCAAGGGUUUUGGCUUUGUUUUCUAAUGAAAAGUUUUGAGAUUUCAUUUUGAACCAACACCCUUAAACUAAUGUCAGCAUGAACUAAAAAAACUUGGGAAACCGAGAAACUUCUUACAAUUCUGAAUUAAAUGGGGCCUUAGAGAUGUUCCUUGGGGGAGUUGAUUUGAAAGUUUCUUCCUGUGUUUUUGUUCUUGCAAGGAAACAGAAAAUACUUUUGCUUAAAUAGAUGAUUUUGAAAACUGUAAUGUUUAUGGCUGUUUCAGUGUAGCAUUAGCAGUAAGUUUGAAAAUUAUCUUUGGUUUAAGGAACUUAAACUUGAGCCAAAUUUUCAAGACAUUGUAGAAAGCCUAUCUUUCAUUGACACCUCAGGAUGAGAUAAAACUGCUUAACCUUUACUGAUAGCUCUCAAAUAUGGAUAUGAAGCAGGUCAAGCAAGUGUCCCAUGCAGUCCCUAAACCACUACUAAAAAUGGUACAAUGGUUCCUAAAUCCCUUUAAAUGUUGUAAAUGGUACCAUGGGCAGGAAAGUGACUCUCUCCAUAAAAAAAAGCCUUUGAUGAAAAGGAAAAAGUCCAUUUUGCCAAUUUUUUUUCGAUUUAAUGAAAGAAGAAAAUGGGAAGUCUUUGAAGAGUCCUGCCACAAAGAGGGCAAAACCACUUCUGUUUUAAGAGAUGUGACAAACGGAACAUUUCUGGUACAAACCAACUUUGCUCAACUUUUGCCCAAAUAUCUAUGUUUCAGAGGCAAAUAAAUAUAAAAUACAGAAGGCUUUACAGGUCUGAUGAGCCUGAUUUCCUCACCUAUGCACAGAGAACCACAACAUUUUCUGAUGAACCUGAAGGCACAAGUUCCCAGCAAAGCAAAGUGAAAUCUGGGAGCAGAGGGGAGAGGCUUCACUCUGUGUGUCCCAUGGCAAAUGUUUGCUUUAGAAAUGAAUGCAUUUCUCAGGAGUGAACCCCCAAGCCCAGAAAUGGCUGAGCAAGGAAUUUAAAGGGAGAAAUGCUGGGAAUCAGGGAGCGGAGUAAUAAAGUACAGGUUUGUUCUGUAACAAAUUCCAGCACUUGCAAGACUCUUUUAGACAUAUGGAAGUCCAUUUAGGAGGAAAAUUGGUUGCAGCCGCUGACUCAGAACCUGUUGGAAUCAGUGGAAACAUUUCCAUUGUCUUCUGUCCUGAAGAAAUGGUGUUUCUGUCCUUCCUUCCAUCCUGGCCUGUGCUCACUCUCUGGGCCAUAUGGAUUUCAUCUCCCACAAAGACAUGUAAGAGAAGAAGGUUUGGCUGUUUAACAGCACAAUGGAGCUGUGUGGACAGGAAUGGCUGAUUUCUACUUGAUUUGCUACAAAUCAGGUAACCAGCACCUUCAGAGGAGUCACCUGGCUGCAUCUGGCUCUUGUAUCCCAGAGCUGAAUGUGGCUUUAAUCACAUCAGCACGUUAAUUGUGCCCCUCAAGACGAGCUCAGAGGAGCGAGGCUCUGUCUUUCUGCAACCAUCUGAUUCCUGGAUUCUGACCAGGAAUAAUUGCCAGGCUAUCCCUGGGAAAGAGCACUGGGUGAUUGUUUAUCUGGAUAGUGCCCCCCUUCAGCUAUUUCAGACUUUCUAGGGUUAAACCCAAAGCUGCCUGCAGGGAAUGAGUGAACCAAGCCCAUCGAGAACUGAUCUCAAAGGAUCAAUUCUCCUGCUUCACUUUCUGCAAGGCAGGCUCCCAGAAACGGGGGCACAGAAGGGGAUGGAUGUCCCCAAGCACUCCCUGUUCUCACAGGGUGUCACCUCCAGACAUUCUAGAGAUCCCUCCCUGCCUCCUACCACCGAGGCCAGGCCAAGUCCCCACGAAGGGGUGACAACCUGCAGAGCAAGAAAUGUUCAAGUAUUUCAGCAUCUACAAGAAAACAUGGGUAUUUUCAGAGCAGAGCUAGGCUUGAGGAAGUGCAGGAGAACAGACGGGUCAGUUCUCCCCCACUGCCACCUCAGACCCUCUGUGUGGCCCAGACAGGUCCCUUCCCUGCCCUGCCCCUCAUUCCCUUUGGUUCCCUCUGCCCUUCCCUUCUGGUGCUCCAUGCAGGGUAGGAAGUGCCUUGCCCAGAGGUGCCUGUCUCCUGUUUGUAGUGACAACCCCAGCUCCAGCAAAAGUGGAUGUGCCACCACAGAAACCUUCCCCGAAUCCAGUUCUGGUAUCAACUAGCUCUGCUCUCCUCCUCUCACCACAGAACUGUGACUUUCAGGGCAAUCUUCUCUGGGUAUUUUGGACAAUGAAUGUGUUUCUUGCCAUGUAAUUAAAUUAUCCACUUGAGAAAGAAAAAGAUGUGGUUUUGUUCCCAUUACAAAAACAAACAAACAAGGACUGAUAUUUAUUACAGGCCGAGGCUACUCAACAAGUGUUUUCUGGAACUCUAAUAAAUUGCUGAAGAAAGUUU